GGAGCGGUAGUUCAGUUGGUUACAAUACCGGCCUGUCACGCCGGGGGUCGCGGGUUCGAGUCCCGUCCGCUCCGCCA
rnacentral:tRNA from 1 species